rnacentral:rRNA from 1 species
UACGAAGGGAGCUAGCGUUGUUCGGAAUUACUGGGCGUAAAGCGUGCGCAGGCGGUUUUGUAAGCCAGAUGUGAAAGCCCCGGGCUUAACCUGGGAAUGGCAUUUGGGACUGCAAGGCUUGAGUGCGGCAGAGGAGACUGGAAUUCCUGGUGUAGCAGUGAAAUGCGUAGAUAUCAGGAGGAAUACCGAUGGCGAAGGCAGGUCUCUGGGCUGACACUGACGCUCAUGCACGAAAGCGUGGGGAGCAAACAGG